GGAAGCCACAGGCUCCCGUAAUGAGAUAAACAUCACUGGCUGGAGACAUGAUGACCGGUUUGCACCCUCUGCAGGAAGAGUCUGCUGAGCAGCCUGAGGGAAUGUUCUAGAAGUGAGGGUAAGGAUGCCACUGUCCAGCCUAUCUGGCAACCCUGCUCUGCAUUAAAAUGCGAUGUCUCCGUUGGGAAUUAACAUAGGCUACUGAUGGCCACUUUCAUUCACGGUUUAUUUACAUCGCGCAAAUAUGAGAGUUGGCUACCCACAACCUAUAUAGCGUUUCUCAGAUGUAACUGGACUAACCAGCUAGCAAGCCAAUUGCAUUUAAUUCUAUAGGUCUGCUUAUUACUCAGGCGAGUUCGCAAUAGCAAUUACGAAAAAAUGGGGGAGGAAGGAAGACACGUAGAGCUGCUAAUCCAAAACUUGUUUCGGAUCCAGACCCAAGGAAUUAUAAUGUUUACUGCCUUUUCGAAUUCGGUCCCAACCGCUUUAAGGUCAUGAACUGCACUGCAGUUGCUUCACAGUCAGCAAAGCACGCCCGCUCAAGCGGAUCAAUACUGUGCUUAGCUAAUGGCUACCACAGACAACAGAGCCCAACGGUGAAAAUGGUUAGGUAGGAAGAGUAGCUGCAGCUCCACCGAAUGGCACGUUCGGAACGUAAUUUACGGAGAGCUGAACGGAAGGAACAAAUCCUUACUUGGGGAUGAGUCAGUUUCUUUGGUUCAUAAAAAAGAUACGUUCAAAGGAACAAAUUGUUCACGGACGACAAUACCAUUACUAAGAAGAGGGCGUCAGUAUGAUCAAGCCGAUGUAUGUCGGCUCCUUUAAACAUAGGGCCUUCUGAGUCCUGGCUUAUUUUAAUACCGUGGUCCAGGCCUGUUGAAAGGAAUGAGCAGUCUGAAUGAUCCAGCUGCUAAACGUCAGUUGGGCUGUGGGGAACAGCAAUCUUGUCGCAAUGCUAUAAAUAAAUAAAUAAAUAAAUA